UAUUCAUAACAGGGCCUAUAAAUCAAGAAACACAUUAGGAAAUAGUUCCAUCUUCGUUGGAAACUCUUUUGGUUCUAAAGGUUGCAUCUUUACAGCAAGGGUUUAGAAAGAUGGGGCAUCACCACCACCAACAUCACCAUCAUCAUGGGGAUCACCAUGGCUCUGGUGUUGAUCCAUUGCUGGCUUGUUGCUGUUGUCCUUGUUUCUUAGUUUGCUCUAUUCUUGGGGGAUUGGGAAGAUGUGUCCUUGAUGUCUUCUAUCCUUUGUUGAUGUGCCUUGGCUUGGAUCAUUCUGGCCAUCACCACCAUCACCAUCACCACCAUUGUUGAUAAGUUUGGUCAUUCACAAGCUCUUUAAAUCAUAAAAUUUUGUUACUCUGAUGUUUAUCUGCUCUUAUCUUGAACUUCAGGUGUGUUUGGAUUUGUUAUUUAGCAUGGUUUGAUUGCUUUUCAGUAAAUUUUUUCAGUAGUUUAGUAGUUGUGUUUGAUUUGAAACUUGUUCAUAUAUUUGUGGUUUGUGUUCUGCUGAAAUAUCAAACUUCAGUCAUGUCUUUAUUUUGCUUCAUUUAAGUAAAUCCAGAGAACUUGAUUUGAAAAGCUUAUUUUAAUA